GGUCCGUGCGAAGUUGUAAGACGAUGUAUACGGACUGACUCCUGCCCGGUGCUGGAAGGUUAAGGGGACGUGUUAGCACUUGUGCGAAGCGCAGAACUUAAGCCCCAGUAAACGGCGGUGGUAACUAUAACCAUCCUAAGGUAGCGAAAUUCCUUGUCGGGUAAGUUCCGACCUGCACGAAUGGAGUAACGACUUGGGCGCUGUCUCAACCAUGGACUCGGCGAAAUUGCACUACGAGUAAAGAUGCUCGUUACGCGCGGCAGGACGGAAAGACCCCGGGACCUUUACUACAACUUGGUAUUGGUGUUUGAUUCGACUUGUGUAGGAUAGGUGGGAGACUGUGAAACUUGGACGCCAGUUCAGGUGGAGUCAACGUUGAAAUACCACUCUGGUCGUAUUAGAUGUCUAACCUUGGUCCGUUAUCCGGAUCAGGGACAGUGCCUGGUGGGUAGUUUAACUGGGGCGGUUGCCUCCCCAAAAUGUAACGGAGGCGCUCAAAGGUUCCCUCAGCCU
rnacentral:rRNA from 1 species